GCUGGGUAUGGUGGUGCAUGCCUGUAAUCCCAGCUACUCGGGAGGCUGAGGCAGGAGAAUCGCUUGAACCCAGGAGAUGGAGGAUGCAGUGAGCAGGACCACGCCACUGCACUCCAGCCUGGGUGACAGAGUGAGACUCUGUCACAC
ensembl:misc_RNA Metazoa_SRP Metazoan signal recognition particle RNA